UCCGGUUUAACACCGGCAGUCUCUCCAGAGUCCCCGACAUGACUCGCUGGCAACUGGAGACAGGGGUUUCGCUCGUUAUGGGACUUAACCCGACAUCUCACGACACGAGCUGACGACAGCCAUGCAGCACCUGUGGUAGGUCCCCCUUGCGGGUUCCCCUGGGUUUCCCCAGGGUACGCCUACCGCUUUCGCACAUGUCAAGCCCAGGAUAAGGUUCUUCGCGUAGCCUCGAAUUAAGCCACAUGCUCCACCGCUUGUGUGAGCCCCCGUCAAUUUCUUUGAGUUUCAGCCUUGCGACCAUACUCCCCAGGCGGGGUACUUAAUACUUUUGCUCCGGCUGUGAACCCACGUAAGCCCACAACCUAGUACCCAACGUUUAGGGCCAGGACUAC
rnacentral:misc_RNA from 1 species